AUGCCUGUUCGAGCGUCAUUUAACCCCCUCAAGCUCUGCUUGGUGUUGGGCGUUUGUCCAGCCUUUUUGGCGUGGACUCGCCUUAAAAACAUUGGCAGCCGUCACCCUGGCUUCGAGCGCAGCACAUUUGCGCCUGAUCUCUAUGUGGCGGCUCCCCAGAAGCCUAUUUCUUUUGAUUGACCUCGGAUCAGGUAGGGAUACCCGCUGAACUUAAGCAUAUCAAUAAGCGGAGGAAAAGAAACCAACAGGGAUUGCCCUAGUAACGGCGAGUGAAGCGGCAACAGCUCAAAUUUGAAAUCUGGCUCCCUUGGGGGUCCGAGUUGUAAUUUGUAGAGGGUGCUUUGGUAUUAGCUGUGGUCUAAGACCCUUGGAACAGGGCGUCACAGAGGGUGAGAAUCCCGUAUGUGGCCAGCAGCUCUUGCCUUGUAAAGCCCCUUCGACGAGUCGAGUUGUUUGGGAAUGCAGCUCUAAAUGGGAGGUAAAUUUCUUCUAAAGCUAAAUACUGGCCAGAGACCGAUAGCGCACAAGUAGAGUGAUCGAAAGAUAAAAGCACUUUGGAAAGAGAGUCAAAAAGCACGUGAAAUUGUUGAAAGGGAAGCGCUUGCAGCCAGACUUGCCCGUAGUUGUUCAUCCAGGCUCUUGCCUGGUGCACUCUUCUGCGGGCAGGCCAGCAUCAGUCCAGGCGGUCGGAUAAAGGCCUUGGGAAUGUGGCUCCUUUCGGGGAGUGUUAUAGCCCAGGGUGCCAUGCGGCCAGCCUGAACUGAGGUCCGCGCUUCUGCUAGGAUGCUGGCGUAAUGGCUGUAAGCGGCCCGUCUUGAAACACGGACCAAGGAGUCUAACAUCUAUGCGAGUGUUUGGGUGUCAAGCCCGAGCGCGCAAUGAAAGUGAACGGAGGUGGGAACCCCUCGGGGUGCACCAUCGACCGAUCCUGAUGUCUUCGGAUGGAUUUGAGUAAGAGCAUAGCUGUUGGGACCCGAAAGAUGGUGAACUAUGCCUGAAUAGGGUGAAGCCAGAGGAAACUCUGGUGGAGGCUCGCAGCGGUUCUGACGUGCAAAUCGAUCGUCAAAUU
rnacentral:misc_RNA from 1 species